rnacentral:lncRNA from 1 species
GGAGGGGACCCAGACGGAUGUUUGUGUCUUUGUUAACAAGAGACCCCAGCUGGCCUCCGGAAGCCGCCCCUCUGCCGGUGCCCCGCCCUCAGACCUGAGGCCCCGCCCAGACCCAGAGGCCCUGCCUGCUCCUGGGGCUGGGUUCUGCUAAGUCAGUGCCUCCAGGCAGCCCGGCCACCCGCCCGAAGGCGAUCCCGGUCCGGAGGCCUGUCGGCUGCCUUUCGAGGACCUGGGAAGACAGGAUCGGUAGUGAGGGGGUGGGGUGGGGGGUGCCAGGGUGUCUCACAGCAUGUGUGUAUGUGACCAGGUGCUAAGUGACCGAAUUCGCGUCACCUGCCUUUCAAUGACAGACCUCUUUGUCCUUUGGUGAAGCUGCUUCUGAAUUUUGUGUUCCAACUUACAUUUCGAAUGGGUAUUUUCAUGUA